GGCGGUUCUCAGGUGACGCACCCUGGAAUUGGGCUCCCUCCUCUCUGGUUCCGGGUGCAUCACCUGAGAACCACA
rfam:Myotis lucifugus cont2.21910, whole genome shotgun sequence.